rnacentral:rRNA from 1 species
CACGUAGGGCGCAAGCGUUGUCCGGAAUUAUUGGGCGUAAAGAGCUCGUAGGCGGUCUGUCGCGCGGCUGUGAAAACUCGGGGCUCAACCCCGAGCCUGCAGUCGAUACGGGGCAGACUAGAGUGCUGUAGGGGGAGACUGGAAUUCCUGGUGUAGCGGUGAAAUGCGCAGAUAUCAGGAGGAACACCGGUGGCGAAGGCGGGGUCUCUGGGCAGUAACUGACGUGGAGGAGCGAAAAGCGUGGGGGAGCAAACGG